rnacentral:rRNA from 1 species
GACGAACGCUGGCGGCGUGCUUAACACAUGCAAGUCGAACGGAAAGGCCCUGCUUUUGUGGGGUGCUCGAGUGGCGAACGGGUGAGUAACACGUGAGUAGCCUGCCCUUGACUUUGGGAUAACUUCAGGAAACUGGGGCUAAUACCGGAUAGGAGCUCCUGCUGCAUGGUGGGGGUUGGAAAGUUUCGGCGGUUGGGGAUGGACUCGCGGCUUAUCAGCUUGUUGGUGGGGUAGUGGCUUACCAAGGCUUUGACGGGUAGCCGGCCUGAGAGGGUGACCGGCCACAUUGGGACUGGGAUACGGCCCAGACUCCUACGGGAGGCAGCAGUGGGGAAUAUUGCACAAUGGGCGGAAGCCUGAUGCAGCAACGCCGCGUGCGGGAUGACGGCCUUCGGGUUGUAAACCGCUUUCGCCUGUGACGAAGCGUGAGUGACGGUAAUGGGUAAAGAAGCACCGGCUAACUACGU